rnacentral:lncRNA from 1 species
AUUUUAAAUCACCCAUAUUGAAAAAAAUGUAGAACAAUUAGACACCCUAUAACCCACACCUACACACUCAUGUAUCAAUCUGAUUGAUGGAUUGUGUUGUGCAGUAAGCAGGUUCAGGUGUAUAACUGUGGCUCCUUCCACCUUCAAAGAAUAGGCAAGAGGGCCAACCAUGGAGAAUAGUAAGACACUUCAUUAUUUCUAUAACUACGCUGUAUUGUUUGUCCUUGUUGGUCCGUUCAUGUUUUUCAGCAUAAAGUACUCUGCAGCCACUUAGUGUGGUGUGGACACCAGGUUAUAUCAGCUGUGUCGGUGAACCCCUCCUGCAUCUGAACUGGCUACAUAGAGGGCACAGCAUGAUCAGAGGUAUGUUUUGAUGUGAGAGGAUGCCAACCCCCAGUCCCAUCAUCACCACCUCACCUGCUUUUAAGAACCUUUGG